rnacentral:rRNA from 1 species
CUACGGGGUGCACCAGCAGGGAAUAUUGCACAAUGGACGGAAGUCUGAUGCAGCGACGCCGCGUGGAUGAUGAAGGCCCUCGGGUUGUAAAAUCCUUUUCAGGGGGACGAGGAAGGACGGUACCCUUGGAAUAAGCGUCGGCUAACUACGUGCCAGCAGCCGCGGUAAGACGUAGGACGCAAGCGUUAUCCGGAUUUACUGGGCGUAAAGCGUCUGUAGGCGGAAUGGUAAGUUGGACGUGAAAGCUCCGGGCUCAACUCGGAGAGGUCGUUCAAUACUGCCAAACUAGAAGGCAUCAGAGGAGCGUGGAAUUUCCGGUGUAGCGGUAAAAUGCGCAGAUAUCGGAAGGAACACCAAUGGCGAAGGCAGCGCUCUGGGAUGAACCUGACGCUAAGAGACGAAAGCUAGGGGAGCGAACAGGAUUAGAUACCCCCGUAGUC